UACGAAGGGGGCUAGCGUUGUUCGGAAUCACUGGGCGUAAAGAGCUCGUAGGCGGUUUGUUACGUCGGCUGUGAAAACUCGGGGCUCAACCCCGAGCCUGCAGUCGAUACGGGCAGACUAGAGUGCUGUAGGGGAGACUGGAAUUCCUGGUGUAGCGGUGAAAUGCGCAGAUAUCAGGAGGAACACCGGUGGCGAAGGCGGAUCUCUGGGCCUUACCUGACGCUCAGGCGCGAAAGCCAGGGGAGCGAACGGG
rnacentral:rRNA from 1 species